rnacentral:rRNA from 1 species
UCAUGGCUCAGAUUGAACGCUGGCGGCAGGCCUAACACAUGCAAGUCGAGCGGGUUUCGGACCUAGCGGCGGACGGGUGAGUAAUGCGUAGGAAGCUACCGAUAGAGGGGGAUACCAGUUGGAACGACUGUUAAUACCGCAUAAUGUCUACGGACCAAAGUGUGGGGACCUUCGGGCCACAUGCUAUCGGAUGCGCCUACGUGGGAUUAGCUAGUUGGUGGGGUAAUGGCUCACCAAGGCGACGAUCCCUAGCUGGUUUGAGAGGAUGAUCAGUCACACUGGAACUGAGACACGGUCCAGACUCCUACGGGAGGCAGCAGUGGGGAAUCUUGGACAAUGGGCGCAAGCCUGAUCCAGCCAUGCCGCGUGUGUGAAGAAGGCCUUCGGGUUGUAAAGCACUUUCAGCGAGGAGGAAGAGUUAGUAGUUAAUAGCUGCUAAUUUUGACGUUACUCGCAGAAGAAGCACCGGCUAACUCUGUG